rnacentral:lncRNA from 1 species
GUUAUUCUUGCCCGAGUGCUGUUUGCUGCUUUUUCUUGUGGGUGCAGGAUUCCGGAGUUUGGGAAGUCUUUCGUGAAGCUUUGAGCAUUUCUGGAUAAAGAAGCAGAUGCCGCUGCCAGACUAGGCCACCGCCUCCGGGUAGGCGGCCGCCUACUCUUGCGGCCACCGCCUACUUCUAGGCCACCGCCUACUUCUAGGCGGCCGCCUACUGCGUGAUCUGGCAGUUACGAAUUUUUUAGUUUAAAACCCAUCU